UACGUAGGCAGCAAGCGUUGUUCGGAAUUACUGGGCGUAAAGGGCGCGUAGGCGGCCUCUUAAGUCGAACGUGAAAUCCCCGGGCUCAACCCGGGAACUGCGUCCGAUACUGGGAGGCUUGAAUCCGGGAGAGGGAUGUGGAAUUCCAGGUGUAGCGGUGAAAUGCGUAGAUAUCUGGAGGAACACCGGUGGCGAAGGCGGCAUCCUGGACCGGUAUUGACGCUGAGGCGCGAAAGCUAGGGGAGCAAACGGG
rnacentral:rRNA from 1 species